GCCAAAGCUGAUAAUCAUCAUACUCCGACACGUUGGCAACAAAGGUGACACGAGAAACCUAAGACAUCUUCAUAUCGGCAGGAGGAACACGAGACAUCUCAACGGGAGAGAUGAUCUAGAUCCUGUGAAGCACAUCAUUACAACUCGUCACAAAGCAUGUGAGCAACGACAUUGUAACAAGAAAUGUGUCUCUCUUGCUCAUUCUUCUCCUUCAACAGCUGGUAGGCCUUCCUUGAACCAUGUGUAAAGCCCUCCUUCCAGAUGGUACACGUUGCUGUAGCCAUUCAGGACCAACAGGUAUGCCGCUAUCAGGGACCUGCCAAAGUCAACCACAACAGAAGAUAAGCUCCAACGUUGAUAUAUGCUUUCUCCUUUCAGAAGGAAAAGGAUAGGUGGUAAAGAUAUGUGCCAUAGACAUGCUUGAUCUUGCUUGAAAGUAAACUCUAACAGCUUCUGAAUCUGUAGUCUAGAAUAAGCUGUACAUAGUACUUUUCUUUCGUUCAGGAUUAAGUUACCAAACAACUAAGGGCUUGUCUGAGAAGGUAGGAUUGCUCUAAGACUUUUUGGAUUUAGUUCAGAUUUGAAGUAAAUAUUAAGAAUUUGGAUCCUAAUCCAAUAACUAUAAACAUGUGAAGAAAUUGUGGCUUAACCAUGUAGUCACUGAAAAUUCAAAUGCCAAUAACCCAGCAGUUGAAACUGCCAUGUAGUGAACUACCAUCUAAUUAGAUCCUAUGAAGCCAACACCCUACUGCACUUGCCCUCAUGUGCAAAGUGGUAGAGCUUGUAAAAGUGUGUAUAUCACCUUAAGCUUAUCAGAUAUGUUCACUGCUAUCAAAUGCAAUGCAAAGUAUUGAUUUUUGAACCAUUUUUACCAUGCAUUUAUAGAGGAAAUAAUGUUGUAAGCACCUAUCUAAAAAUAACAUUUUCCAGUAGUUUCUUAAUUCCAUUGUGUAACUCAACUAGUCAUGGUUGCACUUGCACCUGUCUCUCAGAGAACCAUCAGUUUUAUUGAGAGGAUAUACAGAUAUUGAGAAUGAUGGAUCACACAUGUUAAUGAACUUGUCAAUCUUUCGGUGCUAAGUGCACAACAUAACAUACCGAGAUUGCUUCCCGUCAGGGAAAUUUUGUGUUGGCUUCAGUGUCCCACCUGUAGAACAUGCCACAAUUAUCUUGGCAUCUUUCCCAACCUUCUCAUCAACGCCUGUACAAAGAUAACAUAUACGCUGAUUACUGUAUCAUUUAUGAGUAAUCAAAGAGCAGCAGCAGUUGCUGCCAUACUUUGUAUGAACUCAG
rnacentral:lncRNA from 1 species